rnacentral:rRNA from 1 species
UACGUAGGGUGCGAGCGUUGUCCGGAAUUAUUGGGCGUAAAAGAGCUUGUAGGCGGUUUGUCGCGUCUGCUGUGAAAAUCCGAGGCUCAACCUCGGACUUGCAGUGGGUACGGGCAGACUAGAGUGUGGUAGGGGAGACUGGAAUUCCUGGUGUAGCGGUGAAAUGCGCAGAUAUCAGGAGGAACACCGGUGGCGAAGGCGGGUCUCUGGGCCGAAUACUGACGCUGGAGGAGCGA